AAUCCUGAGGAGAAAAACACUGGAACUUUGAAGCUAUACCAAGCCUCCCUGCCAACAUUGCCAUCUUUUCCAUACAGUGGCUACCAGGAACGCCACAGAGAAGAUGAGCAACUAGUCCCUCUAAUUUCGAGCCAGGUGCCCCACUCUACCUUGUUCCUCCCAGUGGACAUGGCAGGUGCCACCUUGUUAUUUUUACCUUCUUACCUGCUCCACUUAGUUUUGAUGAAUGAUGCAGUCUUGAGAAAUGACAUUCAGAGUGUCAAGGGGUUUGAUGAUCAGGUAAGCUUUGGCUAUUGUUAGGGUUUAAAAAUGAGGCCCAAAAGCCUGAGCCCAAGUAGG
rnacentral:lncRNA from 1 species